CCCUUCUAAGGAUGGCACCUGGGGAGUUUCCAGUACUCUACCAGUCUCGGUUAUGAGAGGGAGAAUCAAGCAGAGGCUUAAUCAUUCCACUCCUAGCUUGGGCAGUGGCUAGCAAGUGAAAGGCAAUCUGCUACAAGU